rnacentral:misc_RNA from 1 species
GUUCAAUAUGGAAAUGACAGUUCUCUUAACGCUUAAUGCGACAUUGUGAAUAAUAUUGUGUCCGGUAUCAUUGAACAUCCAAGACGGUGGAGCGAUUAGUUUUUCCAAUCACGGACGACACAAUUGUUCAUCGGGUACAUAUAUAUAUAAGAAUCAGGAUUAGAUCGAACAUUACAGUCACAGGUGCUGACAACAAUCCUACCUAGUUUGUCUAGACUCGGUUUUGUUGUUUCGACGUCACGGAUUUAUUACAAAAGUCAACAUGUUCAAGCUGAUGUUGCUCCUCAUCGCCGCAGCAAUGCUCUUUGCAGCACCAACUUAUGCUAAACCUCAGGUUCUGCUCGACUACGGAUACUACGCGCCUGCCUACGUCGCGGGCUACAGCGCUCCCUAUGCCUAUUCGUACCCCUAUGCCUACGCUUAUUCCUAUCCGUAAGCGAACUCAACGCGAACACGGCGCGUUCUGGAACUA